rnacentral:rRNA from 1 species
AGAGUUUGAUUAUGGCUCAGGAUGAACGCUAGCUACAGGCUUAACACAUGCAAGUCGAGGGGCAGCAUUGGAGUAGCAAUACUCAGAUGGCGACCGGCGCACGGGUGAGUAACACGGUAUCCAACCUGCCGCUUACUCGGGGAUAGCCUUUCGAAAGAAAGAUUAAUACCCGAUGGUAUAAAGAGUUCGCAUGUUCUCUUUAUUAAAGAAUUUCGGUAAGCGAUGGGGAUGCGUUCCAUUAGAUAGUUGGCGGGUAACGGCCCACCAAGUCUGCGAUGGAUAGGGGUUCUGAGAGGAAGGUCCCCCACAUUGGAACUGAGACACGGUCCAAACUCCUACGGGAGGCAGCAGUGAGGAAUAUUGGUCAAUGGACGAGAGUCUGAACCAGCCAAGUAGCGUGAAAGGAUGACUGCCCUAUGGGUUGUAAACUUCUUUUAUAAGGGAGCAAUAAGGGCUACGCGUAGUCCGAUGAGAGUACCAUACGAAUAAGCACCGGCUAACUCCGUGCCAGCCGCUGC